CAAUCCCUCAGACAACAAUGAUAAUGGUAGUGUAAUGUAAUGUUUUCCGUAUGAAUGUGUAGUAGCCUGCUUCUCUUCAUUUAAUAUGACAUGUAGAGUUUGACUAAGUGGAGGUGUUUGUGUAUUAUGUCUCAGAUGCUGCUGGUGCUUCUGCUGCUGGACCAAGUCAUGUGACUUACGUCCAGAUUCAACUGAACAAGUUGGACAAGAAAAAGAAAGUAAAGAGAGAUUAUCCAAAAUAAAAUCCUGUCUACUCUGAGGUGAAGACAGGGGAAGCCACAGCAGCAGCUGGACCUGUUGAUGUGACCUAUGCUGAGGUUGACCUCCAAAA